rnacentral:sRNA from 1 species
CCCUAUUGCUAUAAAUAAUGUAUCCCAAUUGUACUAUUAAUAGCAUCCCUAUUGUUAAACAAGUGUAUAAAAUUAAAGAAAAUGAUAUGGUAUUUGUUAUGAUGAUUCAAAACUUAUGAAUCAUGCUAAUAAAUAACUAAUAACAGAACAAGUGGGGAGACCCGGUGGUAUUUGUCUAUCUAUCUGCAUUAAAAAAUCAAAAUCCAAGGGAAUACUACAGUGUUCAAGGCUAAUAUAAAGGAUACUUGUAUUUCAUUUUUGUUCUUGCUAUGAAAGUUCAACUCCCCUCUUUCAAUAUCAUUUACUAUUACUUUGUCUCUAUUUCUCCUCCCUCCCUCCAUCCCUAGUCUCCAUCUUUUUCUCUCCUUUUUCCCAUUGAAAUUUAAGGCAACACAGGGUGGAGUCCCCAUUGAUUCAAAUCCAAAUGGGAGCUUCUCCUCCAACAAGCCACUAGUUCUCAACUGUUUUCCUAAAGACAACAACCACCGUCACCAUCUUAACACCAACACCACCGCCACCAUCUCCUUCCAAGUCAACCUUACCUCAGAUGACAAGAGGCCACACAUCGAUGAGAUGAACUUCUUUGGAAUUGAAAAGAAAAAUAGAAAGUUAGAAGUUGUCACUCCUGUAACAACUUCUGAGAAACAAAAACACCAGACAAAGACUUCAGUUCAAACAAAUUAAUGCAAGCAAAGACUACUUACAGGUAAAUUCCCCAAUAAAUGCAGAUCACAAAAAUCCAUCACAACAAAGAAAGACAUUAUUAUCAGCAAAACUCUCCAAGAAUGCCAACAGAAAAGUCACACUCACAACAAAAGAAAAAGGAAAAGCAUAUAUAUCUAUCAAUGCAAACAUUUCUCUUUGAAAUAACUGGUUAGAGAUGCUGAAAAAGAUAAUUAGGGGACAAAAUUAGGCACCUUUGGAUUGUGCUAAGGCCCCUGCUUCCCAUAACCAGCGAAUCCAGCUUCAGAUCUUCAAUUGCAUCCAGAAGUUUCUCUCUUGCAUCCCCCCAGUAUAUUUUUGUAACAAUGUGCACCUAAAAAAUCGGCAAGUUCAGACACAACACUAAAACAUGGGAACACCCAAAACCAGGGUUGUCUAAAUUGAAUUCAAUUUGUAGAAUCAAGAAUAUCACCUCCUUUUGUCUGAAAGCAGUGUCAAGGAUAUCAAGAACCUCAAUAUCAGUUUGAACACCAUACUUUUUCAUGAUCUCAGGCUCUCUGAACUCUUGCAAAGGAAUAAGAGCUUCAAAAACACAAAGCAAAAUCGAAAUCAGACCAGAUCUGAUCAACCCAGAUCAAAAGAUUCCUAAAACGUUAUCAUCAAAUGAAUAAAAUAAAUAAACACCGACAAGUAAAAUUGACAGAAAAUUGAUACUCACGAGAACCAGAUUUUGCCCAUAGCUGGUUGCGAGACUCGUCUAUAGAAUUGGGGCUGAUGUGAAUGACAUAAAUGGUGUCACCCUUAUCAGCUAAGUUCUCAAGUGCCCAUUUGAGAGCAUUCUUGCUGCUGUUUGAGAAAUCCAAAGCCACACCAAUUGUCCUGUCCUUUGCCAUGGUUUGUGUAUGAAGUUGGUGAACAGAGUAGAAGUAGAAGAACAACAGAGAAGUUGAUGAAGGGUUUAAAUUUCGUACACAGUACUAUAGAGUUUGGCAUCUAAUAAAGCGUAUAUAUAAUAAUAAUAGUUAUUAUUAU